rnacentral:lncRNA from 1 species
ACCACCAAACCAAAAUACGGCUGAUCCGCCCGCCGAUCAUCGACAAUGCACGACGUUGCUGGUGAAAAGAAAGUGCUUCUAACCAAUGAGGUGAUUGUCGCGAACAUGCUUGCAUCGGAUAGCGACAGCGGCAGCGUUGAUGCGAUAGAUC